CGAAUUUUUGACAGUAGAUUUAUCAAAGAUUCGAGACGUGUUAACUGUUAAGGAGCUAAUGAAUGUUCAGUGCGUUCCGUUUUAAACAUUCUUUUGUCUACCCGUUAAUACGCUGAAAUUUUCCAUUUUUUCGUACCAAUUUGAGGGACAUUCUUUUUUACGACACUCACGAUUGUUUGAAGGUUUAUUUUCCCUAGACGUCAUUUGAAUGACAAUGUUUUCCUAUUUUUAGGUGCAGCUCCUAUCCGCAGCUCUACAGUGUGAAAAAAUAGACAGCGGAAAAAAUCUGCUCAUCAUGCUGAUCCGCACAAUGCAGGCUUCAUUUAAGCAAUCUUGGAAUGACCUAUCAACAGUAAUUUUUGUUUACAUUUGGUUUUCACAUGCAAAUCUAUAACAAAUGUUUAUACUAUCUAAACUGUUAUUGAACAUAGGACUACACAGUCACAGUAUUAAAAGAAUCUUCCCUUAAGGAAGAAAAUUUCCUGAACUAUUCAUUAUUAACUGUUCAUGAAAAAUCGCGAUUUUGGUCAAAUCCGACUUUUGGCUUAAAACACGUCAUUUUAAACCCAAAUUUGUUAAGAAUCACGAAAAUCUUACUCGUUUUGUUAUGGGAUUACUAUUUUCGGAGAUAAUGGCUACUUCCGCUUACUUCCGGAAAUUUUUCUUGACAACCUGCAAAAAGUAAAAAAUUAGCUGUAUUAUUAUAACAGUUUCAAAUACUUUUCUUGCAUGCGUUAGGAUGUGCAGCUCUCAUUCUGUGUUUUUUUUCGCUAUCAACACUUCAACAGUACAGGCUGACCCUUCGAGCAACUACAGUUUUAUCUAUAAAUGUUUUAGCGCCUCGUCUUGCAACCAGUAGUUGAUAUUCCAGGAGGAAAAACUAGAUGGCGUCGAUGUGCGUUUUCGAUAAAUGUUACGAGUGGCAAGUUAAAUGAGUGUUUGUUAAGUUUCUACCCUGUCUAGUGUUUCAAAUGAUUUUUGUUCAAAUUUUAGCAGUGUGUUAUCUGUUCAGUAUUGCUAUCGUUGGUGGUGCCUUAAGGACUGAAGUAAAUUGUUACUAGAUGGCAAUGCAGGUUCUCUAAAAAAUGACUAAAGACAUCUAGUGGACUAAUUUUCAAUUACCCUGAAUUUUUUUCCCCCAUUAUUGCGAUACCAUAGAAGUGUGUGAUUCCGAACAAAACGUGAUCAGUGUCUGUCAUUUCUAUUACUUUUUUGCGUUCCGAAGGAUAAUUCAACUAUAAUUUUAUGAUAGGUUAUUCACCAUUUAGUUAGAUUUGUUAACAGCUAAACAAGCUACUGAACCAUAUAAUUGUGAGCCCUCUUGCUUCACUUUCGAUCAUGCUAUGCACACUGAGAGAAUUCACAUUCUACCCACAGCUGUCCUAUUAGCAUGAUUCUUUUUUACUAUACAGUUCAUGGAAAUAAAAGUGCAAAAGAUGCUGACAAUAGAGUAUGGUGAUGUGUGUUAUCUGACAUGUGCAGAAUAUUCAUCUCUGUGGUUUGAUCAUCACCUUAUGCAUCUCAUCCCACUAAGCAAGCUAGCAUGCAUUGGCUUAAUCACCAUUAUCCUAUUUGAACUGCAGCUCUCAUCUUCCUUCUCUGCAAAAUUGCCAUCUCAACAAUUUAUUCAGUUUUGACCCAAUUAGAUCACAAGCAACUACCCUAUUUUCCUCUUCACACCGGUACAAAACCCACCAUCAGAACUACGGCCUUGUCUUCUUCCUUCGCCUUCGCCUCAUCGCUGUCUUCCUCUACGCUUUCGCCUUUGGGUCAUCGCUGUCUUCGUCUACGCCUUCUUCUUUGCGUCAUCGCUGUCUUCGUAUCGUCCGCCGUCCUCGAUCCAGCAAUUAAAGAACACCAUGGCUUAGCAACACAAAAAAGAUAGCCAAAAAGCAUGCAGUUCAGCAGACAGCCCACGACGAUGGAGGAAGUUCACCGUGGAUCGUCGCCCUGGUAUUGUUUUGUUUUGGAUUGUAUUGUAUAAGUUAACCCGUUGGCUGCCACCCCGUUUGCGUCCCAUUUUUUUUUAGCUUGUAGGGACCGGGCGCUGUUCUGCCCCAUGCAUGGGGGGAACAGUCGCCGCGCCUAAAGGCUUUGUGCCUUUAGGCGCCGUAGGCAAUACACCAGUAGGGACUCUCUUCGUCGGUGCGGUGAUAGAUUCCUGGGGUGUGUAUUCCCGGAAUGGUUUCUAUCAUCGUACCAACCCGGACUUGUCUUCGGACAAGUCCCACUUUGUUCACGAUCCUUCUGACGUGAUGCGUAGCAACUGUAGUUACAGCAUCCUACGGGUUGCGUGGCCUGGCAGCCAACGGGUUAACUUAGUGUAAAUGUAUGUUUAUUUGUGUAUGUAAUUACGUGUAUGUAAAGUGUUAUGUAAAAUAGUGGUGGAAUUGAUGGGUGGAGGUGG